rnacentral:sRNA from 1 species
CACUUGCUCGCGUGAGGGAUUAUAGUGGAGCUCUUUUUCUUUUUCAAUUGCCUCGGGUUUAAACCCGAGGCAAUUGAAAAAGAAAAAAAGCGGGAACGGAAAGCCCGACCCGUA